GUUUCUGCCAGAAAAUACGAUCGACCACGCCUCCCACCCCAUCUGGAUCCACCGCCUCCACGCCGCCGGCCGGCGUCCUCCGCCACGCCAUCCACCGCCAUGCCCUCCUCCCUGCACCGCGGCCUGCCUCCUCUUCGCCGUGCCCUCAUCCCCGCACCGCGGCCUGCCUCCUCUCCGCCGUGCCCUCCUCCUCGCGCCGCCCGAGUCCUCCACGCGCGGUUCACCGACGCGGAGGCCCAGGCCAGCCUGCUCCGGGCCCGCGCCACCGACCAGGACGGGCUGCUCAGCACGCUCCUCACCACCACGGGCAACGACCGGGAGGUGGAGGACGCACGGGAGGCGGGGUAGCGUCAGAAUCAGCGUACUUCGGAUCCAGCAUGCUGCUCCUCUCCCUUCCCAAGUCGCCCUGGAUCUCGCGAUGCCGGAGGUGGCCUCCGUCAUUGCUAUGGAGGGCUUGCCACCCGCCUUCGGAGUCCCACGUCCUCGAGAUCGAUGGGAUUGCCAAGCCGAGGGCAUCAUCUCUCGACAGGCUCCUCCAUCACUUCUGGUUUCCCACAGUGGCUAUGGGCUGCCUCUCCCUCUCGAUCCUGCGCUCCUCCUCCUCUGGUUCAGGUUUCAGGCCGUGGCAGAGGGUCGCCUCUCCAUAUCCAUCCUUCCAAUCCGGAGCACAGGUGGAGAGCCUGGCUGUGUGCGGCAGAGAUGGAGCCCCGCAUCUGCGCCCUAUAAGCCCGAACAGAGCUCCUUCGAGGCCAUGACCUCCGCAAGUAUCGAUCUAAAAAGGCCGACAACCCAAUGGAACCUCUCCCUGUCUCUUUCUUCUUCAUCUUCCACAUACUAUCCACUGGAAUCUUAGUUUUUGUAUUUAGCUAGCAAAGACUCGAUUGCUGCAUUUUUUUACUGUACAUCUUCAUAUAGGAUUCAAUAGCCAUGCCCUGGAGAGAGACGGCUCACAAAUUAGUGCAGUUAACAAGAAGCAAUUGAACUGAAGAUCUUACAAGAUGGCUUGCAAAUCUAGGUAUCAAACAGAAUUUCGGUAAUAUAUAUUAUGUAUACGGUACUUGGAAGGGAUGCUUACCAGGUAAAUACCAAUUAAAAUCUAGGUCCAGUAACUAUCCAGUUGCAAAUUCCUUGCAAGUUUGUGCGAUAGAUGAACUAGGAUUUAGUUUUAACUCUAUGGUACAAUUGAAAGACUAGGGAGAAGAGGGUGGAUUGUACUACCUGAUUGCUUGUUGUACAUCCGAAAGGGAUUCAGUUGCUCUGAAUAUUCUGAUUUGCCACAUGGUCGCCAGUGUGAAUAGCGCCUUCAUGAGUGAAUCUUUUAAUGACUUAAUUACCAUCCAGCCAUCCUGCCUUUCCAACGAACAACAUACAAGCUUUGUUCUUUGAAGUUUAAGAAUAGUGCAACCAUCUUGCCUUUCCAAAGAAUAGCAAAUAUAUUUUUAACCUUAAUAGUGCAGCCAGCUAGCUGUAGUGCACUUAUCUCUAAGCCCAGCACCUCUUUAAUCCAUAAACUUAUCCGUAACCAAAGGCUAGACGUAUAUUCAACGUAAUUCUAUUUAUUGAGUUCAUUUUCUUACUUCGGUAUGGCCUGGGGUAUAGUAAGUUCCAUUUUCAAUGUUCCAGGGACCACUUCCAGUAAGUUUCCACUCGACAUCAGCAGUAAUGUCCACUACCUGUAUCAGCAUGGUUAUAGCAGUAGAUAAUCAGGGCAAAUAUCAUAAGCAUAUUACAACUUUAGAAUCUCUGAAUUCUAAUAGAUUUCUAAUAUCCUUCAAACAUGAUGUGUGAGCGCUCUUUAGAUAUUCCAAUAAGUUCCUUUCUACAGGUGUUCUUACAUCUCCUGAAUGGAUGAUUCUCUUUGCAUUUCGGCCGCUCGGCCCACUUCCGAUGAUCCACUGCAUCAUCACUGUUUGGUAACUGGAGGGGAGGCCGCAAGGCGGGACAGCCAGCAGCGGCAUUCUAUUUGGGAUGCGUGGAUCUGGUGAUGUUGGAGCAUGGGAACAGGAAACAUCACAUCCGCAACGGCGUUUAAAAUAGCCAAUUUACCUUUCUCCCUAAAGGUUUCUUGCUCUGUUGUUAGUAUCACUGGUCUUGGGGAUUAGAUUUUGUCAAUAUCAAAAUCUGGGUACUUACCAGCAAACGAGUUGUUGAUCUAUUUACUUAGUCAAGUUCAUUUCUGCUAUGUUCUUCGGUCAAGCUUCAGCUUCUAGCCUUGAUUAACUGGCAAUGAUAUUCUCCAAAACCUACUAAUGUCAGAAAUCCUGCUACCCAACAGGAUGGUCUGCCAAGUGAUGUGAGCACUACUCAUUGUGUGGCAGACGUUCAUUAGGAUUGCGAACAAGAUUUGAGAUGUAGGUGUUGGUCAAAUUUUGGAAAAUUAUGGUUCUGCAGAGGGACCAUAGUCUGAUGGGACAGCUCCUGAAUCAAUGUCACAUAAGGCAACAACAUACUUGGAUGAGUUGAAGGACUUGAGAUGAGUUGAUCACAUCCUCAUGUGUCUUUGCAUGUUGCAACAUGGGUGGUGUACUUUUUUUAUAGAAAAACAUUCCUACUUUAGAUAGAAGAACUUAUGGGGCACAUCAGAUGUACUGACCACUCCUUAGUCCCAAGAACAGGAGUAACAAUUUUUCUCAAGUUCUGCUGCUGUAUUGUAAUAGAAGUCUAUUCAUCAAACUGCCUUAUCAACCAUUUGCUAUUAA